rnacentral:rRNA from 1 species
AUUGAAUGCUGGCGGCAGGCCUAACACAUGCAAGUCGAACGGUAACAGGAAGCAGCUUGCUGCUUCGCUGACGAGUGGCGGACGGGUGAGUAAUGUCUGGGAAGCUGCCUGAUGGAGGGGGAUAACUACUGGAAACGGUAGCUAAUACCGCAUAAUGUCGCAGGACCAAAGAGGGGGACCUUCGGGCCUCUUGCCAUCGGAUGUGCCCAGAUGGGAUUAGCUUGUUGGUGGGGUAACGGCUCACCAAGGCGACGAUCCCUAGCUGGUCUGAGAGGAUGACCAGCCACACUGGAACUGAGACACGGUCCAGACUCCUACGGGAGGCAGCAGUGGGGAAUAUUGCACAAAGGGCGCAAGCCUGAUGCAGCCAUGCCGCGUGUAUGAAGAAGGCCUUCGGGUUGUAAAGUACUUUCAGCGGGGAGGAAGGGAGUAAAGUUAAUACCUUUGCUCAUUGACGUUACCCGCAGAAGAAGCACCGGCUAACUCCGUG